AGUGAACGCUGGCGGUAGGCCUAACACAUGCAAGCCGAACGGCAGCACAGUAAGAGCUUGCUCUUACGGGUGGCGAGUGGCGGACGGGUGAGGAAUACAUCGGAAUCUACUUUUUCGUGGGGGAUAACGUAGGGAAACUUACGCUAAUACCGCAUACGACCUACGGGUGAAAGCAGGGGAUCUUCGGACCUUGCGCGAUUGAAUGAGCCGAUGUCGGAUUAGCUAGUUGGCGGGGUAAAGGCCCACCAAGGCGACGAUCCGUAGCUGGUCUGAGAGGAUGAUCAGCCACACUGGAACUGAGACACGGUCCAGACUCCUAAGGGAGGCAGCAGUGGGGAAUAUUGGACAAUGGGCGCAAGCCUGAUCCAGCCAUACCGCGUGGGUGAAGAAGGCCUUCGGGUUGUAAAGCCCUUUUGUUGGGAAAGAAAAGCAGCAGGUUAAUACCCCGCUGUUCUGACGGUACCCAAAGAAUAAGCACCGGCUAACUUCGUG
rnacentral:rRNA from 1 species